CACGUAGGGCGCGAGCGUUGUCCGGAAUUAUUGGGCGUAAAGAGCUCGUAGGCGGUCUGUUGCGUCCGCUGUGAAAACUCGGGGCUUAACCCCGAGCCUGCAGUGGAUACGGGCAGACUAGAGGUAGGUAGGGGAGAAUGGAAUUCCCGGUGUAGCGGUGAAAUGCGCAGAUAUCAGGAGGAACACCGGUGGCGAAGGCGGGUCUCUGGGCCGAUACUGACGCUGAGGAGCGAAAGCGUGGGGAGCGAACAGG
rnacentral:rRNA from 1 species